rnacentral:rRNA from 1 species
AGACCCGAAACCCGGUGAUCUAGCCAUGGGCAGGUUGAAGGUUGGGUAACACUAACUGGAGGACCGAACCGACUAAUGUUGAAAAAUUAGCGGAUGACCUGUGGCUGGGGGUGAAAGGCCAAUCAAACCGGGAGAUAGCUGGUUCUCCCCGAAAGCUAUUUAGGUAGCGCCUCGUGAAUUCAUCUCCGGGGGUAGAGCACUGUUUCGGCUAGGGGGCCAUCCCGGCUUACCAACCCGAUGCAAACUGCGAAUACCGGAGAAUGUUAUCACGGGAGACACACGGCGGGUGCUAACGUCCGUCGUGAAGAGGGAAACAACCCAGACCGCCAGCUAAGGUCCCAAAGUCAUGGUUAAGUGGGAAACGAUGUGGGAAGGCCCAGACAGCCAGGAUGUUGGCUUAGAAGCAGCCAUCAUUUAAAGAAAGCGUAAUAGCUCACUGGUCGAGUCGGCCUGCGCGGAAGAUGUAACGGGGCUAAACCAUGCACCGAAGCUGCGGCAGCGACGCUGAUGCGUUGUUGGGUAGGGGAGCGUUCUGUAAGCCUGCGAAGGUGGCCUGUGAGGGUUGCUGGAGGUAUCAGAAGUGCGAAUGCUGACAUAAGUAACGAUAAAGCGGGUGAAAAGCCCGCUCGCCGGAAGACCAAGGGUUCCUGUCCAACGUUAAUCGGGGCAGGGUGAGUCGACCCCUAAGGCGAGGCCGAAAGGCGUAGUCGAUGGGAAACGGGUUAAUAUUCCCGUACUUGGUGUUACUGCGAAGGGGGGACGGAGAAGGCUAUGUUGGCCGGGCGACGGUUGUCCCGGUUUAAGCGUGUAGGUGUGUG